ensembl:lncRNA
GCCGAGCGAGGUGUGACGUCAUCACUCGAAGUGGGAGUCUAGACGGCGCUCGUUUGACGUUGUCAUCCAUGAUCAAUUUGCCCCUCAUUUACCGCGUUUUCACAAUGAUUAAUUUUAGCCAUCUUAAGCAACAUCUGUCCUGAUAACUGCCCGGAGCGUCUAAUAAUAAUAGCUUCAAAAUACGCUUAGUUUCUGGGAGAGAAUGAGCAUGGAAGUUUGAAUGAGCGUCCUGGACGCCGAGGAAGCGGACAAUGUUGCCAAAUUGAGCCAUAUUUCCUGUACAAUCUGGCAACCCUGGAAGCCGUUUGGCUCGGAGGAACGGAAACACAGGGCUCCCAGUAUGAGUUCACCGACUUUACUCUGCCUAGCCAGACCCAACACAGAGACAACCGGACGAACAAGCAGCCGUGUGCCAGCCAGAGCAGCCUGAAGGACUUCCACUGGGACGGCUCCCAGGCGCUCAUCCUGGGCCGCUGGGCCUGUCCUGGCUGGUGAAGUUCCCCUCGGAGCAGGAGCAGCUCUGCACACGCCAGGCCACCGCCCAGCAGGUCCACACGCUGGAGGAACUCUGGAAGGUACACACACACACGGGCACGGGCACACACACACACACACACACACACACACACACACACACACACACACACACACACACACACACACACACACACACACACACACACACACACACACACACACACACACACACACACACGGCAUACACACAUGACACACACAGGCACAGGCAUGAGCAUACACACACACGCAUGGGCACAUACACGCGCUGGCACACACAGGCACAUACACAUACUCACACACACACCACUGUGGAUACACACUUCUAACUGUCUGCAGGCUUUGUUAACGAGUGUAUAAUCUGUACUGUUGGAUGUAACGGUUGGAGAUUUGGAAUAUGUACCAGAAGAGGUUGUGCAAAUGAAUGUCCCACCUACCUGCGAACGGUGGCUUUUAUUGGCUAUGGAAAUCCUUUUUUUUCUAUUUAGGAGGUGCUUUUAUCCAAAGGGACUCGUUAGUGAUUAUAUAUUUUUUUCAUUAAUGAGGAGGUUGGAGUGAAGGGCAUAUUGCUCAGAGUCGGGGUUGGGGUUUGAACCCAGAACCUCUCAACUAAGAUGCAAACACCCUCACCAUGGGUCUAUCUUGCCUCCCAUAUUAUCAUAUAUUCUCCCUCCAUGAUACAUUAGCACUUCAUCGGUGGCAGCUCAAGUGUUCGUUGUGUUUUGCCCGUGCAGACCCAGGACAACAUCACGUUGAAAUGGGAUCUGGGGCUCUAAAAAACGGAUUGCUUAUUUCUCCGUUCCCAAGACGGACUCGGGUGGUAAUUCUUUGAUUUUUAAUCCUCAUCAUCACCAUUGUCCCAAUCAUGGUUUGUCUAUCAGUGGUCCUUGACAUUUAACAUCACAUCCGCCAUGCAUGACGAGAAGCACAAUUUAAAUAUAGCUUGAAUAAAUAUGUAACGGUUUUGCUUUUCUCCAGACAUACGCUUCAUGCAGGGCGAUCUGACUGAGGUACCAAGGGGACUCGACCACUAACUGGAAGGGGAAGGGACAUGUGAUUACAGUCCCUGA